CCUACGGGAGGCAGCAGUGGGGAAUAUUGCACAAUGGGGGAAACCCUGAUGCAGCGACGCCGCGGGAGUGAAGAAGUAUCUCGGUACGUAAAGCUCUAUCAGCAGGGAAGAAAAUGACGGUACCUGACUAAGAAGCCCCGGCUAACUAAGUGCCAGCAGCCGCGGUAAUACGUAGGGGGCAAGCCUUAUCCGGAUUUACGGGGUGUAAAGGGAGCGUUGACGGCAUCACAAGUCUGGAGUGAAAUCCCGGGGCUUAACCCCGGAACUGCUUUGGAAAGGGUGCGUCUGGAGUGCAGGAGGGGUAAGCGGAAUUCCUAGUGUAGCGGUGAAAUGCGUAGAGAUUAGGAGGAACACCGGUGGCGAAGGCGGCUUACUGGACUGUAACUGACGUUGAGGCUCGAAAGCGUGGGGAGCAAACAGGAUUAGAUACCCCAGUAGUC
rnacentral:rRNA from 1 species